GGGUUACAGUUCGCAGCAGAAGGCUCCCUUUCAUCAGAGACCACAUGAAAGCCAAAACAAUCCCUGUCUGUCAUGCACAGAAAACUUCCACUGACUCUAUUGAAUGCCCUGCGUGCUCAAGCCCUGCAUGGGAAUGAGGAACAGUGCACCCCACCCUUCGCCCUCCCUGGGGAAUCAGAUAGCCCAUUGACACCAGAGAAACUAUUAUGGAACAUCAGAGGACAAAUGACUUUGUGUGUGUGUGUAGGGGGAAGCAAUCAACAGAGACUGCCAUGAAGAGGAG